AUUGAACGCUGGCGGCAUGCUUUACACAUGCAAGUCGAACGGUAACAGGUCUUCGGAUGCUGACGAGUGGCGAACGGGUGAGUAAUACAUCGGAACGCGCCUAGUAGUGGGGGAUAACUACUCGAAAGAGUAGCUAAUACCGCAUGAGAUCUACGGAUGAAAGCAGGGGACCUUCGGGCCUUGUGCUACUAGAGCGGCUGAUGGCAGAUUAGGUAGUUGGUGGGGUAAAGGCUUACCAAGCCUGCGAUCUGUAGCUGGUCUGAGAGGACGACCAGCCACACUGGGACUGAGACACGGCCCAGACUCCUACGGGAGGCAGCAGUGGGGAAUUUUGGACAAUGGGCGAAAGCCUGAUCCAGCAAUGCCGCGUGCAGGAUGAAGGCCCUCGGGUUGUAAACUGCUUUUGUACAGAACGAAAAGCCUGGGGCUAAUAUCCCCGGGUCAUGACGGUACCGUAAGAAUAAGCACCGGCUAACUACGUGCCAGCCGCCGCCGUAA
rnacentral:rRNA from 1 species